rnacentral:tRNA from 1 species
GGGCGCGUAGCUCAGUGGCAGAGCUCUGGUUUUACACACCAGCGGUCGGCGGUUCGAUCCCGUCCGCGCCCACCA